rnacentral:rRNA from 1 species
UUCCGGUUGAUCCUGCCGGAGCACUGCUAUUGGGGUCCGCCUAAGCCAUGCGAGUCGACCGGGCUUUCCUCCCUCGGGAGGAGAGCCAGGGGCGGACGGCUCAGUAACACGUGGGUAAUCUACCCUCGGGUCGGGCAUAACCCCGGGAAACUGGGGCUAAUACCCGAUAGGUGGAGAGGUCUGGAAGGAUCCUCCGCCGAAAGCUCCGGCGCCCGAGGAUGAGCCUGCGACCGAUUAGGUAGUUGGCGGUGUAACGGACCACCAAGCCUGUGAUCGGUACGGGCAGUGGGAGCUGUAGCCCGGAGAUGGGGGCUGAGACACGGCCCCAGGCCCUACGGGGGCGCAGCAGGCGCGAAAAACUCCGCAAUGCUCGCAAGAGCGACGGGGGGACCCCAAGUGCCCCUGCACUGCAGGGGGCUUUUGCGGAGUGUAAACAGCUCCGCGAAUAAGGGCUGGGCAAGACCGGUGCCAGCCGCCGCGGUAACACCGGCAGCCCGAGUGGUGGCCACUUUUAUUGGGCCUAAAGCGUCCGUAGCCGGUCUGGUAAGUCCCCUGUGUAAAUCCUCAGGCUCAACCUGAGGAAGUGCGGGGAUACUGCCAGACUCGGGGCCGGGAGACGCGGAGGGUACUCCAGGGGUAGCGGUGAAAUGCUGUAAUCCCUGGGGGGACCACCAGUGGCGAAGGCGCUCCGCGAGAACGGGCCCGACGGUGAGGGACGAAAGCCAGGGGAGCGAACGGGAUUAGAUACCCCGGUAGUCCUGGCCGUAAACGCUGCCCGCUAGGUGUUGCACGCUCUACGGGGGCGUGCAGUGCCGAAACGAAGGUGAUAAGCGGGCCGCCUGGGAAGUACGCUCGCAAGAGUGAAACUUAAAGGAAUUGGCGGGGGAGCACCACAAGGGGUGAAGUCUGCGGUUUAAUUGGAUUCAACGCCGGGA